GCUAAUGAAAAAAAAAGUGUUGGUACAAGAAAAGAAAAGGAUCAACGUUUGGUCAAAAUGCGAAAAUCCCACUGAAUCUUUCUUCCAUAAGCGGAUACUGAAAACGAGGCCGGCGAACAACGAGGGUUUGAAUCGUCUACGCUGCACAUGAUCUCUGAAAGAAAGGUACAUAAAUACUUGUGAAUCUAUUGAAGUUUGUCCAAAAAUGGAAAAUAGGAAAGAGGCUUAGAUGAUAAUUGAUGAUUAGGUGUGGUUUGAUUUUCGGAAAUUCUUCUGCCUAUAAUAAUUCUCGUGUUGUGGAAGACACGGAGCUUCCUGGAUGUUUUGUAAACCCUAACUAAUUGGAAAAUAGUUCAUGGAAGAUGAAUCUUUAUCUAAAACGGGGUAGACACGGUAGUUAAAAUUAGCAUAAGCUAAGAUUACUUAUACGGUACGCCAUGGCUGAGGGGGAUGGAAAAGUUGGUGAAGUGUAUGCCAUAACGGACGACAUGGAUCGAAUCUUUUCGAAGCUAGACAGUCCGUUUUCCUGCAUGAGAAGUUCUAAGAAUUAUCGGAAGAAUGAGGGUUUUGUGGUGCCUGAGAAUGUGGAGGAAGUGUUAGGGUGUCUGGAGGAGAGGAUCGUGAAGAAAUGGGAGGGCGAGGGUUUGAUUUGGAGUGAGGAGACGAAGGAGGUGGAUUUGUAUAUGAAGGCGAUUGAUGAUGUGCAGAAUUUGGUUGACGGGUUGUUGGAGAUGCCGGAGGAGGGUAAGGAUUUGACAUCUUUGCAACGGGCGGAGAAUAUUUUACAUCAGGCUAUGGCGCAUCUUGAGGAGGGGUUUAAGGCGCUUUUGGAGAAGCAUAGUGAGAGUGUGGAUCCCGAUUGGCUCUAUGAUUCCAAGUCUGGACCUUCCUUCAGGUCAAAUUAUGAUGACAGGGCUUCGUGGAAUUCUGAUGAGAAAGAGGAGGAGGAGGACAAGGUGAAAGAAAAGGAGGAAAAGGAGAAGGAAGAGGAUGAGGAGAACGUGCCUGUUGCGCAGCCUGUCAGCGAUCUGAAUUUUACCAUCGACUUGCUGCCUGCUGAGGUAGUGAGUCUGUUGGGGGAAAUUGUGGUACGCAUGGAGAGAGCAGGGUACAUGACAGAAUGCCGCCAGGAAUAUACGAUAAUUAGGAAGGUGUUUUUGGAGGAGAGUGUUUUUAGGUUGGGGUUCGAGAAGAUGAGUAUCGAGGAGGUUCAGAAGAUUCAGUGGGAGCUGCUUGAGAUUGAGAUCUCGAAGUGGAUGCAGACGCUGAAGGUGUCAGUGAAUGUUUUCUUUGCAAGCGAGCGGAAGCUCUGUGAAAGGAUUUUUGCUGUUCUUCCUUCUGUUUCGGAGACAUGCUUCGGGGAGCUUGCUAAGGGAACAAUGUUUGAACUUCUCAGUUUUGGUGAGGCCGUGGCAAUCAGUCGGAGGGCUCCCGAAAAGCUCUUCAAAAUUUUGGAUAUGUACGAGACAUUGAGGGAUCUUAUACCUGAAAUAAACUCUGUAUUUUCUGGUGAAAUUUGUUCGGCAGUGAGGUCAGAAGCUUUUGCAGUUUGGAUGCUGUUGGGGGAAGCAGCCCGGGGAACAUUUGUGGAGCUUGAAACUGCAAUCCGGGGGGAAGUAGCCAAGAGUCCUGUACCUGGAGGAGCCAUUCAUCCUCUCACCCGGUAUGUCAUGAAUUACAUGAGGCUUGCAUGUGAUUACAGAGCAACACUUGAGCAGGUUUUCAAAGAACCUGACAUGUCUAAAGUUGCAGGAUCAGCGGACAGCCCUUUGGACAGCUCUGAUGAUUUUUCUUCUGAAAGGGGCAUAACCAACAGGGAUGACCUGUCCCCAUUAUCCAUCCAGACAAUUGCAAUUAUGGACCUCUUAGAAAACAAUUUAGAUGCAAAGUCAAGGCUUUAUAGGGAUCCAGCUCUGAGCUAUGUUUUUCUCAUGAACAAUGGACGUUAUAUUGUGCAAAAAGUUAAAAAUUCAGAAAUCCACAGUUUAUUGGGUGAUGAUUGGGUUCGUAAGCAUUCAUCUAAUGUCCGUCAGUAUCAUAAAGGCUAUCAGAGAGUUGCUUGGGGAAAGAUUCUUUCUUGUUUGAAAGAUGAAGGCAUUCACGUCAGUGGAAACUUCUCCAGUGGUGUCUCUAGACCUGUGCUGAAAGAGAGAUUCAAGAACUUUAAUGCUUUAUUUGAAGAAAUUCAUAAGACACAGUCAGCAUGGAUUAUUGGAGAUGAACAACUUCAAACUGAGUUACGAAUUUCUAUUGCAGAGAUGGUUAUUCCAGCUUAUCGUGCAUUUUUAGGCCGGUUUCAACAUUACCUGGAAAAUGGCAGACAUUCAGAAAAAUACAUCAAAUAUGGACCAGAAGAUAUAGAGGCUUACAUCAAUGAAUUGUUUGAAGGGCCAAGCUCCAUGACCCGCAGAAAAUCUUUUCCAAACUGAAGUGGUAAAAUUAUAUAGCAGUUUUGGAAGCAUUUCUGAAAUUUAUUGGGGUGCUCUAGUUGAGCAAUGCAGAGCCGGAUAGAAAUAAGGUAUCGAUUAUUUACCCUAAAAUAAAAGGAGGAAAAAAUGAAGAAAUUCUAUCUAGUUCAUGGAGAAUGAGAGAGUUAACAAUAUAUUUUGCUGGGCUUUUGCUAUUACAGACGUUGG